GCCAGGACACAAGGCCGGCGGCGAGGGACGACGCAGCCGAGGCGGGCGACCAAGAGCACGAGACGGAGGAGGAGAAGAACUACUGGAACAGUAUACUGAACCUGGUCAACUCGUCUGCGUCAGUGGUGGUGCCCGCCGACGAGGCGUACUCGCCGGCGCCAGAGUUCUGAGUGGUACUGGUGGCGACCUCUGCACAUGCCUUGCCGGCAUGCACCCGAGACCCCACCAGGCAAAUGACACAGUAAAUAGUUAUUAGCGGUGACCGUGGAAUAAGAUGGGACUAAUGCUAGUACUACUACAGUUAAUCGCGUUCUUGGGUUUAUCUGACACAGUGCUCUCUGAUUAGACGUGCGAGCAAGAAGGAUUUAUAGAUGUUGGAGCUUGUUGCCUGCUUCCUUGGGCAAAAUUUCUUACUCUACAUGUUCUGUAAAACUAAGACAAUGAUCUCGGAAUUUCUUCUUCUUCUUAUGUUGGAAAGAACAAUGCCCGAUGAUUUAUCUACUUGAUUAUUGUAAUUUUAGGACAUCUUCAACGUAGAUCCGCAAACCUCCAGCAACUGUCCGAACUACAGUCUAUGAUUUUGUCUACUUGAUUAUUGUAAUCUCAAGACAUCUUUAGCGCAGAUUCGUAGACCUCCAACAACGGUCCGAACUACGUGGUUCGGGCCGUGAAAGUCAUCUAACACGG
rnacentral:lncRNA from 1 species